GUUGCUGUCUGGGUUUGGGUGUCCUCUCUGCCCUCAUUUUAAGACUGCGAGUGAUGGGGUGUUUGAGAGGCACUUAAGGAACCACACUGCAAAUGCAAUACAUUUCCAGGGAUUGUGGAUACAGUUGAGAGAGGAGGGGUUCUGGCCGUGUUUUCCAGGGAUCAGAUAAAGAGAUUACAUGAUGAUCUGAUUAAUGGAAACAUGCGUUCCAACAGAUUGUACCUCUGGAGAAUCCAUCUACCUCUCUCAGGCUUAAACAGCACCUUAAACUAAGGGCGCUGAAUUUAAGUGACCAGCGGAUCUUUGAGCUUCUGAGGGUGAUAGAGGAAGGUGA